rfam:Candidatus Photodesmus katoptron Akat1 chromosome II Contig2, whole genome shotgun sequence.
UUAAUUAGUAAUUCGUAGAUUGUCCUAGAUGGACUGCUUCGAAUAUUUUUUUACUGGAUAAGUUUUGGGGUAAAGGUAAUGGCUCGUAUAGCAGGCAUUAAUAUUCCUGAU